rnacentral:rRNA from 1 species
ACGCUCGACACCUACGAGAGGCAGCAGUGGGGAAUAUUGCACAAUGGGGGAAACCCUGAUGCAGCGACGCCGCGUGAGCGAAGAAGUAUUUCGGUAUGUAAGGCUCUAUCAGCAGGGAAGAAACUGACGGUACCUGACUAAGAAGCACCGGCUAAAUACGUGCCAGCAGCCGUGGUAAUCUGAGGCGGGCGUGGCAAGGC